rnacentral:rRNA from 1 species
GACGAACGCUGGCGGCGUGCUUAACACAUGCAAGUCGAACGGAAAGGCCCCUUUGGGGGUACUCGAGUGUCGAACGGGUGAGUAACACGUGAGUAACCUUCCCUUGACUUCGGGAUAACUUCAGGUAACUGGGGCUAAUACCGGUUAGGAAUCCUUUUUGCAUGGGGGGGGUUGGAAAGCUUCGGCGGUUAUGGAUGGACUCGCGGCUUAUCUGCUUGCUGGUGUGGUAGUGGCUUACCAAGGCUUUGACGGGUAGCAGGCCUGAGAGGGCGACCCGCCACAUUGAGACUGAGAUGCGGCCCCGACUCCGACGGGAGGCAGCAGUGGGGAAUCCUGCACAAUGAGCGGAGGCCGGAUGCAGCAGCGCCGCGGGCCGGAUGACGGCCUUCGGGUUGUAGACCGCUUUCAGCAGGAGCGAAGCUUGUGGUGACGGUACCUGCAGAAAAAGCACCGGCUAACUACGUG